rnacentral:rRNA from 1 species
GAUGAACGCUGGCGGCGUGCCUAAUACAUGCAAGUCGAGCGAAUGGAUUAAGAGCUUGCUCUUAUGAAGUUAGCGGCGGACGGGUGAGUAACACGUGGGUAACCUGCCCAUAAGACUGGGAUAACUCCGGGAAACCGGGGCUAAUACCGGAUAACAUUUUGAACCGCAUGGUUCGAAAUUGAAAGGCGGCUUCGGCUGUCACUUAUGGAUGGACCCGCGUCGCAUUAGCUAGUUGGUGAGGUAACGGCUCACCAAGGCAACGAUGCGUAGCCGACCUGGGAGGGGGAUCGGCCACACUGGGACUGAGACACGGCCCAGACUCCUACGGGAGGCAGCAGUAGGGAAUCUUCCGCAAUGGACGAAAGUCUGACGGAGCAACGCCGCGUGAGUGAUGAAGGCUUUCGGGGCGUAAAACUCUGUUGUUAGGGAAGAACAAGUGCUAGUUGAAUAAGCUGGCACCUUGACGGUACCUAACCAGAAAGCCACGGCUAACUACGUGCCAGCCGCCGCAGUAA